CUACGGGAGGCAGCAGUGAGGAAUAUUGGGCAAUGGGCGAGAGCCUGACCCAGCAACGCCGCGUGUGCGAUGAAGGCCUUCGGGUUGUAAAGCACUGUCGAGGGGGAGGAAGCCGCAAGGUUGACCUAUCCCUGGAGGAAGCACGGGCUAAGUUCGUGCCAGCAGCCGCGGUAAGACGAACCGUGCGAACGUUGUUCGGAAUCACUGGGCUUAAAGGGCGCGUAGGCGGGUUCCCAAGUCAGGGGUGAAAUCUUUCGGCUUAACCGGAAAAGUGCCCCUGAUGCUGGGAGUCUCGAGGGAGAUGGGGGCAUGUGGAACUUCCGGUGGAGCGGUGAAAUGCGUAGAUAUCGGAAGGAACGCCGGUGGCGAAAGCGACGUGCUGGAUCUCUACUGACGCUGAGGCGCGAAAGCCAGGGGAGCAAACGGGAUUAGAAACCCGUGUAGUCC
rnacentral:rRNA from 1 species